rnacentral:rRNA from 1 species
ACAAUUGGACGCUGGCGGCAGGCCUAACACAUGCAAGUCGAGCGGAAGAAAAAAGCUUGCUUCUCUUGAAAGCGGCGGACGGGUGAGUAAUGCCUAGGAAUCUGCCUGGUAGUGGGGGAUAACGUUCGGAAACGAACGCUAAUACCGCAUACGUCCUACGGGAGAAAGCAGGGGACCUUCGGGCCUUGCGCUAUCAGAUGAGCCUAGGUCGGAUUAGCUAGUUGGUGAGGUAAUGGCUCACCAAGGCGACGAUCCGUAACUGGUCUGAGAGGAUGAUCAGUCACACUGGAACUGAGACACGGUCCAGACUCCUACGGGAGGCAGCAGUGGGGAAUAUUGGACAAUGGGCGAAAGCCUGAUCCAGCCAUGCCGCGUGUGUGAAGAAGGUCUUCGGAUUGUAAAGCACUUUAAGUUGGGAGGAAGGGUUGUAGAUUAAUACUCUGCAAUUUUGACGUUACCGACAGAAUAAGCACCGGCUAACUCUGUGCCAGCAGCCGCGGUAGGUGCAAGCGUUAAUCGGAAUUACUGGGCGUAAAGCGCGCGUAGGUGGUUUGUUAAGUUGGAUGUGAAAUCCCCGGGCUCAACCUGGGAACUGCAUUCAAAACUGACUGACUAGAGUAUGGUAGAGGGUGGUGCAAUUUCCUGAGUAGCAAUUCCAUGUGUAGCGGUGAAAUGCGAACAACAUAUGGAGGAACCCCCCUGGCGAACUGCGACUUGUCUGGUCUGUAACUGACACUGAGGGACCAAAGCGUGUGGAGCCAACAGGAUUACAUACCCUGGAAGUCCACCCCGUAAACGAUGCAACUAGCCGUUGGAAGCCUUGAGCUUUUAGUGGCGCAGCUAACGCAUUAAGUUGACCGCCUGGGGAGUACGGCCGCAAGGUUAAAACUCAAAUGAAUUGACGGGGGCCCGCACAAGCGGUGGAGCAUGUGGUUUAAUUCGAAGCAACGCGAAGAACCUUACCAGGCCUUGACAUCCAAUGAACUUUCUAGAGAUAGAUUGGUGCCUUCGGGAACAUUGAGACAGGUGCUGCAUGGCUGUCGUCAGCUCGUGUCGUGAGAUGUUGGGUUAAGUCCCGUAACGAGCGCAACCCUUGUCCUUAGUUACCAGCACGUAAUGGUGGGCACUCUAAGGAGACUGCCGGUGACAAACCGGAGGAAGGUGGGGAUGACGUCAAGUCAUCAUGGCCCUUACGGCCUGGGCUACACACGUGCUACAAUGGUCGGUACAGAGGGUUGCCAAGCCGCGAGGUGGAGCUAAUCCCAUAAAACCGAUCGUAGUCCGGAUCGCAGUCUGCAACUCGACUGCGUGAAGUCGGAAUCGCUAGUAAUCGCGAAUCAGAAUGUCGCGGUGAAUACGUUCCCGGGCCUUGUACACACCGCCCGUCACACCAUGGGAGUGGGUUGCACCAGAAGUAGCUAGUCUAACCUUCGGGAGGACGGUUACCACGGUGUGAUUCAUGACUGGGGUGAAGUCGUAACAAGGUAGCCGUAUCGGACGUGCUC